rnacentral:rRNA from 1 species
UACGUAGGGUGCGAGCGUUAAUCGGAAUUACUGGGCGUAAAGCGUGCGCAGGCGGUUUUGUAAGCCAGAUGUGAAAGCCCCGGGCUUAACCUGGGAAUGGCAUUUGGGACUGCAAGGCUUGAGUGCGGCCGAGGAGAGUGGAAUUCCUGGUGUAGCGGUGAAAUGCGCAGAUAUCAGGAAGAACACCCGUGGCGAAGGCGGCUCUCUGGGACGUGACUGACGCUGAGACGCGAAAGCGUGGGGAGCGAACAGG